ACGGGACUAACACCGAUAUGCUUUGGGGAGCUGUACGUAAGCUAUGAUCCAGAGAUUUCCGAAUGGGGGAACCCAACAUCUUUAAUAGGAUGUUACGAUUGUGUGAAUACAUAGCACAUUCGAGGUAGACGCAGAGAACUGAAACAUCUAAGUACCUGCAGGAAGAGAAAGAAAAUUCGAUUCCCUGAGUAGCGGCGAGCGAAACGGGAAAAGCCCAAACCAGCAAGCUUGCUUGUUGGGGUUGUAGGACUCCAAUAUGGUAGUUCUUUCAGAUAGUCGAAUGACUUGGAAAAGUCAGUCAAAGAGGGUAAAAACCCCGUAGACGAAAUGUGGAAGACACCUAGGAGGAUCCUGAGUACGGCGGAACACGAGAAAUUCCGUCGGAAUCCGGGAGGACCAUCUCCCAAGGCUAAAUACUCCCUAGUGACCGAUAGUGAACCAGUACCGUGAGGGAAAGGUGAAAAGCACCCCGGAAGGGGAGUGAAAUAGAACCUGAAACCGUGUGCCUACAACAAGUCAAAGCCCGUUAAUGGGUGAUGGCGUGCCUUUUGUAGAAUGAACCGGCGAGUUACGAUUGCAUGCGAGGUUAAGUUGAAGAGACGGAGCCGCAGCGAAAGCGAGUCUGAAUAGGGCGUUUGAGUAUGUAGUCGUAGACCCGAAACCAUGUGAUCUACCCAUGUCCAGGUUGAAGGUGCGGUAAAACGCACUGGAGGACCGAACCCACGUACGUUGAAAAGUGCGGGGAUGAGGUGUGGGUAGCGGAGAAAUUCCAAACGAACUUGGAGAUAGCUGGUUCUCUCCGAAAUAGCUUUAGGGCUAGCCUCGGAAUUGAGAAUGAUGGAGGUAGAGCACUGUUUGGACUAGGGGCCCAUCUCGGGUUACCGAAUUCAGAUAAACUCCGAAUGCCAUUCAUUCAUAUCCGGGAGUCAGACUGUGAGUGAUAAGAUCCAUAGUCGAAAGGGAAACAGCCCAGACCACCAGCUAAGGUCCCAAAAUAUAUGUUAAGUGGAAAAGGAUGUGGGGUUGCACAGACAACUAGGAUGUUGGCUUAGAAGCAGCCACCAUUUAAAGAGUGCGUAAUAGCUCACUAGUCGAGUGACCCUGCGCCGAAAAUGUACCGGGGCUAAACAUAUUACCGAAGCUGUGGAGUACACCUUUAGGUGUAUUGGUAGGAGAGCGUUCUAAGGGCGUUGAAGGCAGAUCGUGAGGACUGCUGGAGCGC
rnacentral:rRNA from 1 species